GUUGUAUGGUUAAGUGACUAAGCGUACACGGUGGAUGCCUUGGCAGUCAGAGGCGAUGAAAGGCGUAAUAACUUGCGAUAAGCCCAGAUUAGGUAGUAAUAACCUUUUGAGUCUGGGAUUCCUGAAUGGGGAAACCCACUUACAUAAGUAAGUAUCCUGUUGUGAAUACAUAGCAACAGGAGGCAAACCGGGGGAACUGAAACAUCUAAGUACCCCGAGGAAGAGAAAUCAACCGAGAUUCCGAAAGUAGCGGCGAGCGAAAUUGGAUUAGCCCUUAAGCUUUUAAUGAGACAGAUGAAGGCUCUGGAAAGUGCCGCAAUAAAGGGUGAUAGCCCCGUAAUCGACAUCUCAUAAUCAGUGAAAACGAGUAGGGCGGGACACGUGAUAUCCUGUCUGAAUAUGGGGGGACCAUCCUCCAAGGCUAAAUACUACUGACUGACCGAUAGUGAACCAGUACCGUGAGGGAAAGGCGAAAAGAACCCCUGUGAGGGGAGUGAAAUAGAACCUGAAACCGUGUACGUCCCUCGCCGGAAGACCAAGGGUUCCUGUCCAACGUUAAUCGGGGCAGGGUAAGUCGACUCCUAAGGCGAGGCCGAAAGGCGUAGUCGAUGGGAAACGGGUUAAUAUUCCCGUACUUCUUACAAUUGCGAUGGGGGGACGGAGAAGGCUAGGUGGGCCUGGCGACGGUUGUCCAGGUUCAAGUACGUAGGCGGAAAGUUUAGGUAAAUCCGGACUUUCUUAACGCUGAGAUACGAUGUCGAGCUACUACGGUAGUGAAGUCAUUGAUGCCAUGCUUCCAGGAAAAGCCUCUAAGCUUCAGAUUGUAAGGAAUCGUACCCCAAACCGACACAGGUGGUCGGGUAGAGAAUACCAAGGCGCUUGAGAGAACUCGGGUGAAGGAACUAGGCAAAAUGGUACCGUAACUUCGGGAGAAGGUACGCUCUUAUCAGUGAAGUCCCUUGCGGAUGGAGCAGACGAGAGUCGCAGAUACCAGGUGGCUGCAACUGUUUAUUAAAAACACAGCACUGUGCAAAAUCGUAAGAUGACGUAUACGGUGUGACGCCUGCCCGGUGCCGGAAGGUUAAUUGAUGGGGUUAGACUUCGGUCGAAGCUCUUGAUCGAAGCCCCGGUAAACGGCGGCCGUAACUAUAACGGUCCUAAGGUAGCGAAAUUCCUUGUCGGGUAAGUUCCGACCUGCACGAAUGGCGUAAUGAUGGCCACGCUGUCUCCACCCGAGACUCAGUGAAAUUGAAAUCGCUGUGAAGAUGCAGUGUACCCGCGGCUAGACGGAAAGACCCCGUGAACCUUUACUACAGCUUGGCACUGAACAUUGAACCUACAUGUGUAGGAUAGGUGGGAGACUAUGAAAUUGCGUCGCUAGAUGUGAUGGAGUCGUCCUUGAAAUACCACCCUUGUAGUUUUGAUGUUCUAACGUUGGUCCCUGAAUCGGGAUUACGGACAGUGCCUGGUGGGUAGUUUGACUGGGGCGGUCUCCUCCCAAAGAGUAACGGAGGAGCACGAAGGUGGGCUAAACACGGUUGGACAUCGUGUGGUUAGUGCAAUGGCAUAAGCCCGCUUGACUGCGAGAAUGACAAUUCGAGCAGGUGCGAAAGCAGGUCAUAGUGAUCCGGUGGUUCUGAAUGGAAGGGCCAUCGCUCAACGGAUAAAAGGUACUCCGGGGAUAACAGGCUGAUACCGCCCAAGAGUUCAUAUCGACGGCGGUGUUUGGCACCUCGAUGUCGGCUCAUCACAUCCUGGGGCUGAAGUCGGUCCCAAGGGUAUGGCUGUUCGCCAUUUAAAGUGGUACGCGAGCUGGGUUUAGAACGUCGUGAGACAGUUCGGUCCCUAUCUGCCGUGGGCGUUGGAAAAUUGAAAGGGGCUGCUCCUAGUACGAGAGGACCGGAGUGGACGAACCUCUGGUGUUCGGGUUGUCAUGCCAAUGGCAUUGCCCGGUAGCUAAGUUCGGAAUCGAUAACCGCUGAAAGCAUCUAAGCGGGAAGCGAGCCUUGAGAUGAGUUUUCCCUGGCACUAUAAGUGUCCUAAAGGGUUGUCGUAGACUACGACGUUGAUAGGCAGGGUGUGUAAGUGCUGCGAGGCAUUGAGCUAACCUGUACUAAUUGCCCGUGAGGCUUAACCAUACAACACCCAAGGGGUUU
rnacentral:rRNA from 1 species